rnacentral:lncRNA from 1 species
GCUAUCAAAUUAGGGGGGGAGGCCCCCUUUUUAUGGAUACAUUGAGUAAAUCAUGGCCAUUGGAAUAAAAACAGUUUGAACGCACAGGAUUGCGCCACGUCAUCAGUCAACAGUACGCGGUUUAACCAUGCGGUUUGAACAGUGACACGGUUUGACCCGGCUUGAACAGUAACGCGGUUUGGUUGAAAAUAAUCCUGUGUAUGUGCAUGUACCAUACGCGUAAUUUUUGGUCCACUAACAUGCUGCCACGUCACCAAUCAACAGUGCAUAAGAAUUUUAGUCCAACAGGUUCGUGACACCUCAUCAGUCAAUGCCACAUCAUCGAUCAAUGCCACGUCAUCGAUCCGUCUAUGUGAACAGUAACGGUACUAACCUUAUCACGCUGUUAAAACAUUUCUAUAAAAACACUAAAACAAAUACGUGAAAUAAAUUAACUAAAAAUAAAUUAAUAAGAUAAAUAAAAUUACAAAGAAAAAUAACUUGAAAAUUAAAUUACAAAACUUUAAAGAAGAGAAAAAGAAAAGAAAUUCUUACCUCUAAAUGUAGAUUCACUUUUUUUUUUAUAUAACAAAAAAUUACAAGAAAACAAUUAAAAGAAAUUAUUCACAAAAAUUAAUUUUACGAAUUAAAAUAACUUACCUCCCCGGCAACGACGCCAAAAACUUGUUGUGCAAAUUUUAUUGAACUCGCAAGUGCACGAAUCUAUUGUAGAAUAGAUUAAUGGUGACGAGUGUUGAUCCCACGAGGAGGUGGAUUUUAAUUAUAUGUAAAAUUAAUUUUGUAUUAGGGUGGUUGGAUUUGUGGCGAAAGUGACUUAGAUUAUCCUAAAAUUGAAAUUGAAAUGGCGAGAAUAAAUUAAAGAAAAAUCUAUUGAAAUGAAACACUCGGGUAUUUGGAUCCGUAUCAACAUGCACCCUGCGCUAAAUAUUCCUUAUUAGUGCCAAUUAAAUCAUUGGGGGGGGGGGGAAUCCACACUUCAUGAACCAUACUCUAAUCAAUAUGGUGCUUAGGGCUUAUCGUGCCAAAUAAUAAUAACCUUGUAUUAAGGAGCUGGUGAAAUUAGGGCGGUAUAUAGACAAGAUUAUUAUUAUUUGUCGACGAGAAGUCAAAACAUCCAUAAAAACUAGGGGGGAAGAGAAAGUAAAUUUACCAAUUAAAGCCCAUGACACAUGUUGAGACUUCACAUUCAACCCAAGCUUGAAAGAAAAUUAGCUACUCGUAAUUGAACUAGGGGCAAAAUGAGAAUUUAUUAAAAUACGUAGAAAAUACAAGAAGAAGAAGGAAUUACAGAAAAUGGAGCCUAAAAAUAGAUUAAGAGAUGCCAAAUUAGUGGGGCGAGGUCCCUUUUUUAUAGAUACAUUGAGUAAAUUAUGACCAUUGGAUUAAAAACAGUUUGGACGCUCAGUAUUGCCCCACGUCAUCAGUCAACAGUACGCGGUUUGACCACGUGGUUUGAAUAGUGACACGGUUUGACUACGCGGUUUGAACAGUCAAUCGGUUUGAACAAUGACGCGGUUUAUUUGAAAAUAAUCCUGUGUAUAUGCAUGUACUGUACACGCGAUUUUUGGUCCACUGAUAUGCUGUCACGUCAUCAAUCAGUAGUGCAUAAGAAUUUUCUCCAAUGGAAUCGUGACACCUCAUCAGUCAAUGCCACAUCAUCGGUCAAUGCCACAUCAUCGAUCCGUCUAUGUGAACAGUGUCGUGAACAGUAACGUAGACAAUACCGUACAUGUAAAUAGUAUCGUAUAUGUAAACAGUGACAUUUUUUCUUUUAUGCUCCUCCUAAGGUUUUCGACUGUCCUGAGUUCAAAAGUGAUGUCCGUUUUACCAUCUGAUUUCUCGUUCAUUGUGAAAUGACCAUAAUGCCCUUAAAUACAUAAAAUACUUAAUAUAAUAAAACACAUAUAAUUAAAUUAGAAGAAACUUAAAUACAUAAAAGUAAGGGUGUUAGUAAGACUUGAAAUGUAAAAUGACGAUUUUUUCCUUUAUAAAUAUAUAUUUUCUAACACUCAACACACCCCCCAACUAGCUUAUUGUUAGUCCCUAGCAAAUAAAGCGAAAUCAAAAAUCAAAUCCAAAAUGAUUUUUUUUUAGCAAUCAUGUUUAUUCAAUCAGACUAAUGAUAGUAAUCAAAUAAAAGUAUAAGUAUUAUCUCCAGUCUAAAGAAACAUCACACCCACAUGAACCAUCCAUAUGAAUAAGUCUAGUAGACUUUGUCACAGCUACUUUCAAGAAUAACAUGUUAAACCCCAAAAUCUCACUGGAAAUAGUGACACUCUCACAAAGAAAUUAAACUCAAUAAAAAUAGUCACUCCAAUGAAUGGUAAUUGAGAGAAAAUAAUAAAAAAGUGAUAUCACAUGCUCUCACCAAGAUGAAAGAAAUAUGCCCUCAGCUUAGAAAUAACACGAUCUCAAGUCAAAUAAAAAUACUAGUCAACCCAAUUUAUUUAUUUAUUUGUUUAUUAUUAUUAUUAUUUUUUUAUGCACUACUAAAUUUUUUUAGCCCAUAUAACUAACUUCUACUUCAGACUAUAAUUUCCUAAAAUCAAGAAGGACUUUUAUUAUAACGUAACAUAGGCUAGGGACAUGGCUAACAAAGGAGGGGAAAUAAGAAAAACAAAGUGUAUAUUUGAGAAAAAUGCACAGAUUUUUUUUUUUUGAAAGUUGCAAGGUGGAUUUCACCUAUUAUUGUUAUUUAUUUAUUUUUUAAAAAUAAUUUUUUUUUUUGCUUUUGUUUGGCACAACUUCACUGAACAAAAUAAUUAUUUACAUUUUUCUCAAACAUAAAUAAGUGAUGUAACUUGUAAGAUAAUUGGAGUGGGUCAAGAUGAUAAGUUUUGACAAAGAAAAUAUUUUUUUUUUUAAAGGCUCAAAAGGGUUAACUAUGGAUAUUUCACAAAAUGGAUGGCUAGAAAGGCUCAAACGGAUCAAAGAUGGUCUUUCCAUCGUCUUUUAGGGCUCUAAAUAAUCUUCCAUAUCUACUAGUUAGAUGGGUCUCCAGAUGUAGCAACACAUAUUUUUUUCUUCUUUUUUUUUUACAAUUUUUUUUAAGGGUUAACUCAAAAGAAAUCUAGAGAUCUUGUCUAAAAUAAUAAACUGCUAAGUUGUAUGAAGAAUGGGCAAAAGAGUUACUCUCCAAGAAAAAUGAUAGGCUCAAAGACUCACUGGGAAUCUAUUAUGACAUGUGCAUUCCUUCAAGCAACUCAUAUUUGUCUCCGACAUCAACAUGUAGAGUUAGCAAACAUGGCGUAACAUCACUUAAGACCAAAGAUAAUACAAAUACUAAAAUUUAAAAUUCAUCAUGUCAUCCAAUGUUAAAACAAAUCACACAAUUCUUUUUUAAAAAAAAAAACAUUCUACCCCCCAACCUAUUCUAAACAUGAAAGGAAAAUAUGCAUGCAGAAAUGUGAAAAUGAUGCAGAAAAACUAAUUAGAAAAGUUACACUUAAAAUGAUAGAAAAAGAAAAUAGUUUUUUUUUUACUAAGAAGAUGCGUUUCUAGAGGCACUACACUCCAUAUUCAGCCAUCUUCGACUCAAAAAUUUGAAAAUGUAUAUUUAUAAAUGAGAAAUUAAAAAGAAGAAGUAAAAAAAAAUGAAUAUCAAAACUUAAUAAAGAAAAAGAAAAUGUCUGGAAUUUUUUUUUAACGAAGAAGAUGCGUUUUUAGAGUAACUACACUCUAUAUUCAGCCAUCUUCAACACAAAAAGUUAGCAACAGUUAGUUUCUACAACAAAAAAUUAGUAAAAACUUAACCAAGAUUCUACAAUUGUCACCUAUUCCCUCCCCCCAACCAGAACGAAACAUUGUCCUAAAUGUUUUAAAAGAAAUAAGUAAAGUUUAGAAGACAUCACCUGGGUGGUGCAACACAGAAAAAAAUAUUUACAGGCGGAGAGUUAAAUCUAAUUUAUACUUCUUACUGCGGCUACUGUUACCAUCAUUAUUUGGACGCUCCAACACAAAGGUCCAGGGGUCUGGCUUCGGUUUAUAAGCUUGUAACAGAUCAAGUAGCUCAUUAGCAGUGUGAGCACAAAUAAAAAGCUUUUUCGCUGUGGGAGGAAUGAAAUAGUUUUUUAUUGCAUGGUUAAGAAAUGCGAUAAAGCCAUCAUAAAAAUAUUGACAUUUAACAAACCGAUGAGUUUCUGGUGAAUGUGCAGAUGGGCCCAAGAUGCUAAUGUGAUAAGUGCCUCUAGAGUUGUAAGAUCUUCUGAUAAGAAAAUAAAAGCAUCAGCAUGAUUAAGCAAUUAAGUUAUUCGUUCUUGCAUACCUGAGACAACUAACUCUUCUCCAGUCGGUGAGUCAGACAAACUGCCCAAAGGUUUUAGGGCUCUUGGGAUGAUGCUAUGCUUCGACCAAGAUUUAUGGCUGCCUCAACGAACUCUUUAUGUUUGCCAUAGUUAAAUCCAGAAAGCACACAAAUAUUCUUGAAUUGUCUAUUGGGAGUAGCUGCCAUUGAGAUACUUCUCAAAAAUAAUUUGUUAGUGCUUAACAAAAAGUCAUAUUUAAGAAUCUUGGUGACAGUGGGUCACAAUUGUGUAUGAGGUGGCAUGUCAGUGUCAAAUAACGCGUAAAGCACAUGGCUCGCGAGUCAAAAAGGAAACAGUAAAAAGAAAAAGAAAUAAUGAUAAAAUAAAAUAAUUAAAGACAAUAAUGCAAAUGAUAAAAAAACAGUGAAAUAAAAUAACAGUGAAGUAAAAGGAUAUUUACAGGUAGUUGCGACUGUGACUCACAUCUUCCUCUGGUUUUACGUCUAGAAACGGUUUGAACGCCCUCUAUGGGUCGAGGAUAGGCUUCCCAUCCAGUUUUCUUGUAAAUUGGCAAACAGGGUCGUUUAUAGUUAGAUUCCCAAGACUAUAUCGUGCAUGCUCUUUCUGGAAUAAUGGCCAUAAUUGGAGAAUCGCUCCUUGCACAUAUCCACUGGGAUGCGUUUCAAGAGACAAAAUGAUAUCAUCCAAUGACUCCUUAUUCAAGCCAUCCCUAAUGAAUUGAAUUUUAUCUUCCCUGUUCUUAGACACCAUUCCUAAAGAACAUGGGUUUUUAUUGCAUCUCAUUCUGGCACAUUUAUAACAAGCAACAGAAAUUCUUCGAGCUCUUCGUUUUCUUGCAUAGUUUCCUUUACCACAACCAGGCAUGUGUGCAAUAAAUUUUGGAGGUAACUCACCUGCCAAUCGUACUUUAGCCUCGAUUAACCAAUGGAUGUCAGCAGGUAUGUUAUUCCUCAUGAGCAAUCGCAUGCGUUCAGACUAAGUUUUAUAGAUUGUAAGGAGAGCAUUCUGAGGAAGUGAAGGGAAUCGAUUGUGAAACUUUGCUAGAAUAUCGUUUCUGUCCAUACCUUCGCCUCAGAAUAUCAGUUAUUUUGGAAAACUGAAGUAACCGACUUGAUUGUCAGGGAGUACUGUUAUCUGCCACUUCACCGGGGUAACAAACUAAAACACACAAACAAAGAAAAACAAACUAAAACACAUAAAGAAAAUUACAAUUGUCCUCUUAUUGAAUUUACCUUAAGCUCCAACUGGAUGUUGUAGACACUUCUCUUAAUGUCUCUGAGUUGGCUUUCUAAAUCCUCAACAUAGGAUACUAACUCUGGUGGUUGCAGAGCGCAAAUACGAUGUGUUUUACAAAAUUGAAUUUGCCUUUUGAGAUGAGAUUUUACACGUUGAAGUAGUUUAAGAAUGUCCAGGAGGAACUGUUUAGCUAUGGCACUCAUGAUUAACGAUAAUAAGAGAAAACUUAAUGGUUAAACAAACACACUUAUGCAUAAAUAAUUUCAAUUAGCAAAAGAAUAAUAAAAAGAAAGAAAGAAUGUCCAGGAGGAACUGUUUAGCUAUGGCACUCAUGAUUAACGAUAAUAAGAGAAAACUUAAUGGUUAAACAAACACACUUAUGCAUAAAUAAUUUCAAUUAGCAAAAGAAUAAUAAAAAGAAAGAAAGAGAAAAAAAAUCAAAUCACCAAAAAGAAAGAAAAAAACUCAAUUCAAAUAUGGUGGAUCACUCAAAUUUAUUUCGGUGUCCUCUCCAUGUGGUUGGUACUCUAGAUAUGGCUUUAAUCUUUAACCAUUAACUUUAAACGUGACACCGCUCUUUGGGUCCUUAAUUUCAAUUGCCCCAUGUGGAAAAACAGUAUGAAUAAUAAAGAGGCUAGACCAUCGAGAGCGUAACUUACCUAGGAAUAGGUGCAAGCGAGAAUUGAAUAAAAGCACUUUCUGACCUGGAGUGAAAGAUUUUCUCAUAAUUUACUUGUCAUGGAAGACUUUCAUUCGCUGCUUGUAAAUUUUGGCAUUUUCAUAUGCAUUAUUGCGAAUUUCUUCAAGUUUUUCCAGUUGUAAUAUUCUUUCUGAGCUAGCUUGCUGCAUGUCAAAGUUCAAUUUCUUGAUGGCCCAAUAUGCACGAUACUCGAGUUCCACAGGUAGGUGGCAAGCUUUUCCAUGCACUAGCCUGUAGGGUGACAUCCCAAUUGGGGUCUUGAAAGCCAUUCUAUAUGCCCAUAAUGCAUCAUCAAGUCUUAAUGACCAAUCUUUUUUGUCUGGCCUCGCCGUCUUUUCUAAUAAGUGCUUUAUUUCUCGAUUGGAGAUCUUAACGUGGUCACUGGUUUGCGGAUGAUAUGGGGUCGCCACUUUGUGAGUGAUUAAAUACUUUGUCAAAAGAGCUUUGCUUUGUUACAAAAGUGGGCACCACCAUCACUGAUUAUUGCUCGAGGGAAUCCAAAGCGUGAAACAAUGUUGCUUUUCAAAAAUCCUAUCACCACCUUGUGAUCAUUGGUUCUGCAUGAAAUUGCUUCUACCCAUUUUGAUACGUAGUCAACAGCAACCAAUAUGUAUUGAUGGCCAAAAGAAGGGGGAAAGGGACCCAUGAAGUCGAUAUCCCACACAUAAAAAAUCUCAACCACUAAAAUUGGAUUUAAUGGCAUCAUGUUCUUUCGUGUAAUGCUCCCCAUUCGUUGACACCUAUCACAUGAAGAACAGAAAGUGUAAGUGUCUCGAAAUAUAAUUGGCCAAUAGAAACCAUAUUGUAAAACUUUAGUCGCUGUUUUCUUAGCGCUGAAAUGGCCUCCACAAUCUUGUUCAUGGCAGAAUGAAAGGAUAUUUUGAAUUUCACUUUCUGGGACACAUCGUCUAACAAUUUGAUCUGCACAAUACUUGAACAAAUACGGGUCAUUCCAAAAGAAAUUUUUUAUUUCUGCAAAAUAUUUGGCCUUGUCUUGCUUAGUCCAAUGCUCUGGAAGUUGACCUGUAACAAGAUAAUUAACGAUAUCAGUAUACCACGGUAAUACUUCCACACUCAUCAAUUAUUCAUCUGGGAAUGACUCAUUCAAUGUUAAUGGCUCUGUAAUUGCGUCAAAAUGGAGACGAGAGAGAUGGUCAGCCAUAACAUUUUUUGUGCCUUUCUUAUCUUUAAAUUCUAAGUCGAAUUCCUACAAAAGUAACACCCAAUGAAUUAAUCUAGCUUUUGCAUCUUUCUUUGUGAGAAGAUAUUUAAGAGCAGCAUGAUCUGUUAAUAUAAUUAUUUUUCAACCAAUGAGUUAAGAUCAUAAUUUCUCUAAUGCAAACACUACUGCUAACUUUUUUUUUUCAGUAGUUGAAUAGUUCAACUGUGCAUCAUUCAAUGUCAUAUUAGUAUAGUAAAUAACACGGGGAAUUCGAUCAACUCUUUGUCCUAAUACUGCGCCUACUGCAUAAUCAGAUGCAUCACACAUGAGCUCAAAUGGUAAGCUCUAGUUUGGGGGCUGAAUGAUGGGUGAUAAUGUCAACAACUGCUUUAAUUUUUCAAAUUCCACAAGAUAUGAAUCAUCAAAGACAAAAGGUACAUCCUUAACAAGUAGAUUGUAUAAGGGUCUAGAAACUUUAUUAAAAUCUUUAAUGAAACGUCUAUAAAAACCUGCAUGUCCAAGGAAAGAUCUUACUUUUCUGAUUGUUUUGGGUGGAGGAAGAUUAGAAAUGAGAUCCACCUUGGGCAUGCUGGUUUUUAUACCUUUGCUUGAAAUGAUGUGAUCGAGAACAAUACCUUGUUUUACCAUAAAAUUUCACUUCUCCCAAUUUAAGACCAAGUUCUUGUUGAUACAUCUCUGUAGAACUAGUGUUAGAUGAUGUAAACAUUGAUCAAAUGAAUCACCAAAGAUAGAAAAGUCAUCCAUAAAGACUUCAAGGAAUCGUUCAACCAUAUCAGAAAAAAUUUUCAACAUGCAUCGUUGAAAUUUAGCAAGUGCAUUACAUAAUCCAAAUGACAUUCUCCUAUAUGCAAAAGUGCCAAAAGAGCAAGUGAAAGUAGUUUUCUCUUGAUCUUUUGGUGCUAUGGGAAUCUAAUUAUAUCCUGAGUAGCCAUUUAGAAAGCAAUAAAAUUCAUGGCCUGCUAAUCUAUCAAGCAUUUGAUCGAUAAAUGGUAAAGGAAAAUGGUCUUUACAUGUGAUAGAAUUCAAUUUUCUAUAAUCAAUGCAUACACACCAUCCUGUAGUUACUCUAGUGAGUAUCAAUUCAUUAUCGGCAUUCGUAACUACUGUGACUCGUGACUUUUUGGCGAUAACUUAUACAGAACUGACCCAUGAACUAUCAGAAAUGGGGUAAAUAAUAAAUGCAUCUAAUAGCUUAAGGACUUCAGUUCUAAGAACUUCUUUCAUGUUAGGAUUUAACCAACGUUGCAUUUCCCUAGUAGAUUUAACAUUAUCAUCAAGGUGAAUGUAAUGCAUGCAGUCUACUGGGUUUAUACCUUUUAUGUCUGCUAUGGUCCAUCUUAAUGCUCAUUUGUGCUCUUUAAAAACGUCCAAUAACUUACCUUUUUGUUCGUCAUUGAGGGAUGAUGAGAUGAUUAAUGGCAGAGUACUUUCUUCUUCAAAAAAUGCAUAUUCCAAAGUGUUGGGUAAUAGUUUGAGCUCGAGUUUUGGUGGUGAUUCUGAUGAUGGGAUGAGUUUCUUCUCUGAUGGUGCUAGUUGUUCAACUCUUGACUUCCAUUUAUUAGUGUCCUUGGAUGGUGCUGAGUGAAGUAAGGCAUUGACCUCAUCAACUGAUCUAUCAAUAUCAAAAUCAAAAUCAAAGUGAGUUAAAUAUGUUUGUAAAGGGUCAUCACUAAAGUUUGAAACAAAAAUAUUAUGAACUAAUGCUUCAAUUAAAUCCACAUCAACAAUUCCAUUAUCUGCACUAUGAGGUUGUUUGACAAUGUUGAAGAUGUUCAGCUCCAUAGUCAUUUUGCCGAAGGACAACUGCAUAUUUUCAGUCCUGCAUUGAAUAGGAGCAUCCACAGUUGCCAAGAAAGGUCGGGCUAGAAUAAUGAGGAUGUGCUUCCUUGAAUCCUGUAUUGGUUGAGUGUCAAUUACAAUGAAAUCAAUAGAAAAAUAAAACUUGUCUACCUGGAUGAGCACGUCCUCCACAAUACCACGAGGUAUUUUCGUGGACUGAUCUGUAAGUUGUAACACCACUGGAGUUGGGUGUAAUUCUCCCAGUCCAAGUUUCACAAAUACUGAGUAGGGUAACAUAUUUACACUAGCUCCUAAAUCCAACAAAGCAUUCUCAAUUGUGUGGCUCCCUAUACUACAUGAGGUAGUAGAGGAGCUUGGGUCUUUACAUUUUAGAGGAAUUUUGUGUUGGAGUAUAGAACUAACGUUUUCUAUUAAAAAUGCAUUCUUUUGAAUAUGAAUAUUUCUCUUUUUAGUACAAUGGUCUUUAAGAAACUUGACAUAAGAUAGAACUUGCUUUAUAGCAUCAAGUAAAUGGAUGUUAACACUUACCUGUUUGAAGAUUUCAAAAAUCUCACCUGUGGAUUUUCCCUUCUUUCCUUUAGCUAACCUCUGAGGAAAUAGAGCUUUGGAAACAUAUUCUCGUGGGUUGGUUUCUUUUUUCUCUUUCGAUGGUGAGUCCUCAAGUUUUACAGGUACAAUUUGAUUUUCUUUUGUCACCAGCAUCUCCACUUUGUUGUCGACUUCUUUUCGUUUUCACAAGGUCAUGACUGCUUUGACCUUUUCAUGCUGCUGUGGUGAACUGGUACUUCCUUCAUGUACUCCUUUAGAAUUAGGCAAAUUUACCUUUCUCAACAGUCAUUGCCAAGGUCUGAACUGAAGAAGCAAGUUAUCCCACCAUCUUCUCGAGGCUUGAAACUGAUUGGGCUUGUAAGUUGAAACCUACUCUCAUCUCAUUUCGCAGUUCAUCAAUGGUGCGGUUCUGUUGCUCAAUCGUAGAGUGAGUAACAUUCCUGAAAUUCUGGAAUGCAUCCUCCCAUGGUCUGGGUUGAGAAUAGUUCUGGUUCUGAUUGUAUGGUAUAAAUGGUGGCUGGGAGGCUUGAGGAAUUUGUUGCAUUAGUGGAAUUGGAGCUGCUGGUCCAUUCUGUUGGAAUCCUUGAAACCAUGAAGUAUUAGGGUGGUCUCUCCAUCCAGGGUUAUAUGUGUUGGAGUAUGGGUUGUAAUUUGAUGGUUUUCUCAUUACACCUAGGCAUUGGCUUGAUCUGAGUAUGAGUGAUGGUCAUGUGGCUCUGUUGAUUUAGCAGUCGAUAACGAUAUUAUUUGUCGAGAGAGACCUUCAAUUAUCGCUUUGACAUCUUUAAUUUAUGAACUUGACUCACCAAUGUGAAUCUCAUUUACUCCCUUAAUUCUUUUAGUGUUCCUGAGUGAUCGACUCCGUUGUUUGGAAUUAUCCGCUUGUCGCUAGAAGAAUUCCCAAAUCUCUGAUGCACUUUUUGACAUUAACUCUCCUCCACUUUUUGCCAUUAGCCAUUCUUGCACAUUCGGUAAUAAUUCCUUUCAAAAAGUAUUGACAUUGGUGCCAUUUCUCGUACCCAUGAUGUGGACACUUCAAGAGUAGCCCAUUGAAUCGCUCCCAUGUUUUGAAAAACUGCUCGUCCUCUCUCUGGGUAAACUCUGAAAUUUCCUUGCAAAUAGCAUUUGUUUUAUGUACUGGAAAAUAUUUAUUCAAAAAUUUUGUUACCAUUUGAUCCCAUGAUGUGAUGCUAUUAGCAGGCAAUGUAUUGAGUCAUGAACGAGCUCUAUCCUUUAAAGAAAAUGGAAAUAGUCUAAGUUUAACAUCAUCAUUUGAAAAAUUCUCAUAUUUAAAUGUUUGACAAACAGUAUGAAAAUCAUUCAAAUGAUUAUAUGGGUCCUCAUUUUCUAGGCCAUAGAAUGUUGGGAGACAAUUUAGCACACUAGGUUUUAACUCAAAACUCCUAGCAGCUACAUUUGGGUAUCUUAUGCAUAAUAUACUCAAAUUAGCUAAGGGAUUAAAGUAGUCCUUAAAUGGCCUCUCCUGUGGUGGUGAUUGUUGUUGCAAAUCCAUUUUAUUUUUAACGUGUUUGUGUGUUUGCAGUGUUUUCUCAAGUUUAAUGUUUAUAGGCUUAAGAUUAGGUAAUAAUGACUUUCGACCAUGCAUGCAAAACAAAUAAAAUAAAAAUAAAGAUGGGAACAAAACAAAUAAAAAUAAAGAAGAGGGAGAAAUUACGAUAGUAACCUUAUUGCGCUAUUACAACCUUACUAUAAAAACACACUAAAAAAAAUGCGUGAAAUAAAUUAACUAAAAAUAAAUUAAUAAAAUAAAAAAAAUUACAAAGAAAAAUAACUUAAAAAUUAAAUUGCAGAAUUGUAAAGAAUAGAGAAAGAAAAGAAAUUAUUACCUCUAAAUGCAGAUUCAUUUUUUUCUUUUUUUUAAUAAGAAAAAAAUACAAGAAAACAAAUAAAAGAAAUUAUUCACAAAAUUAAUUAUACGAAUUAAAAUAACUUACCUCCCCGGCAACGGCGACGAAAACUUGUUGUAUAAAUUUUAUUGAACUCGCAAGUGCAUGAAUAUAUUGUAGAAUAGAUUAAUGGUGACGAGUGUCGAUCCCAUGAUGAGGUGAAUUUUAAUUAUAUGUAGAAUUAAUUUUGUAUGAGGGUGGUUUAAAUUAUCUUAAAAUUUGAAUUAAAAUGGCGAGAAUAAAUUGAAGAGAAAACUAUUAUGAUUGAAGCGCUUUGGUAUUUAGAUCCGCAUCAACAUGCACCCUGGGCUAAAUAUUCCUUAUUAGUGCCAAUUAAAUCAUGAGGGGGGAAACCACACCUCAUGAACCACACUCUAAUCAAUAUGGUGCUUGUUGUGCAAAUUUUAAUGUACUCGCAAGCGCACGAAUCUAUUGUAGUAUAGACUAAUGGUGACGAGUGUCGAUCCCACGAGGAGGUGGAUUUUAAUUAUAUAUAGAAUUAAUUUUGUAAAUGGGUAGUUGGAUUUAUGGUGGAAAUGAUUUGGAAUAUGCUAAUACUUAAAUUAAAAUGGCGAGAAUAAAUUCUAAAAUUGGAAUUGCAAUGGAGAGAAUAAAUUGAAGAGAAAAUCUAUUAAAUUGACGUACUUGGGUAUCUGGAUCCGUAUCAACAUGCAUCAUGGGCUAAAUAAUCCGUAUUAAUGCCAAUUAAAUCAUGAGGGGGGAAUCCACACCUCAUGAACCACGCUCUAAUCAAUAUGGUGCUAAGGGCUUAUCGUGCCAAAUAAUAAUAACCUUAUACUAGAGAGCCGGUGUAACCAAGGCGGUAUCUAGACAAGAUUAGUAUUAUUUGUCGACGAGAAGUCAAAACAUCCACAAAAAUUAGAGGGGAAGAGAAAGUAAAUUUACCAAAUUAAGCCCAUGACACAUGUUGAGACUUCACCUUCAACCCAAGCUUGAAAGAAAAUUAGCCACUCAUAAUUGAACUAGGGGCAAAAUGGGAAUUUAUUAAAAUACGAAGAAAAUACAAGAUGGAGAAGGAAUUACAGAAAAUGGAUCCCAAAAAUGGAUUCAGAGAUAUCAAAUUAGGGGGGGGGAGGCCCCCUUUUUAUAGAUACAUGGAGUAAAUCAUGGCCAUCGGAUUAAAAACAGUUUGGACGCUCAGGAUUGCGCCACGUCAUCAGUCAACAGUCCACGGUUUGACCACGCGGAUGAACAGUAACACGGUUUGACCCGGAUGAACAGUAACGCGGUUUGGUUGAAAAUAAUCCUGUGUGAUGCAUGCACCGUACGCGAGAUUUUUCGUCCACUGAUAUGCUGCCACGUCACCAUCAACAGUACAUAAGAAUUUUAGUCCAACAGGAUCGUGACACCUCAUCAGUCAAUGCCACAUCAUCGGUCAAUGCCACAUCAUCAUCCGUCUAUGUGAACAGUGUCGUGAACAGUAACGUAUACAGUACCGUACACGUGAAUAGUACCGUACAUGUGAAUAGUGCCAUUUUUCCUUUUAUGCUCCUCCUAAGGUUUUCGACCGUCCUGAGUUCAAAAGUGAUGUCU